GGGGUUGUGGCUCAGUGGUAGAGUGCUCGCUUAGCAUGUGUGAGGCACUGUGUUCAAUUCUCAGCACCA
rnacentral:tRNA from 1 species